UACAGAGGGUGCAAACGUUGUUCGGAAUUACUGGGCGUAAAGCGAGUGUAGGCGGCCUAUUAAGUCAGAUGUGAAAUCCCUUGGCUCAACCGAGGAACUGCAUCUGAUACUGGUGGGCUUGAGUGUCGGAGGGGAUGGUAGAAUUCCUGGUGUAGAGGUGAAAUUCGUAGAUAUCAGGAGGAAUACCUGUGGCGAAGGCGACCAUCUGGAAGACAACUGACGCUGAGACUCGAAAGCGUGGGUAGCAAACAGG
rnacentral:rRNA from 1 species